rnacentral:tRNA from 1 species
GCCCAAAUAGCUCAGAUGGUUAGAGCACGGGACUGAAAAUCCUGAGGGAGAGGUUCAAUUCCUCUUUUGGGCA